rnacentral:rRNA from 1 species
UACGGAGGAUCCGAGCGUUAUCCGGAUUUAUUGGGUUUAAAGGGUGCGCAGGCGGGAGAUUAAGUCGGCGGUGAAAUUUUGCAGCUCAACUGUAAAAGUGCCUUCGAAACUGGUUUCCUUGAGUGUAGAUGAAGUAGGCGGAAUUUGUGGUGUAGCGGUGAAAUGCUUAGAUAUCACGAGGAACUCCGAUUGCGAAGGCAGCUUACUGGGAUGCAACUGACGCUGAGGCACGAAAGCGUGGGUAUCAAACAGGAUUAGAUACCCGUGUA